rnacentral:rRNA from 1 species
AUGUACCUUGACUCCUUGCUGCUGCCAACCGACACAAAAGAAAUGCGGAAAAUUGCAAAGACAAUGGACAACAUCUCAUUACCACGAGCAAACCAUCUCAAAGAGAGUGACCUAGCGAAAAUAGCUAGAGCAGACAUGGAAACGGACGGAAAAGCACGAUCGGAUGACUAUGAAUUUGGCAAGAUACAGAUAGCAGGAGAACAUCGUAAAGAACAGCAACACCAACACACAACCAAGCUGCUACCACCUCCACCCAAGCGUCGGCGCGAACCACGUAUCGGCACCAGUGGAAGCACGGAACCAAACAAAAACAUCAGCACAGGACCAGAAGAAAGAUUCCAAAGGAUAAACAAAUUGUUGGAAAAAGUGCUCCAUGAAGCAGAACAGUUACCCGCAGUAACCACCAGGGCUAAACACCGAUGCAACGAAAAAGAAGAGAUAUUGGAUAAAAAAACAAGGACAAAGUCGUGCAACAAACAAUUGCCCUAA